GCGUCCGUAGCUCAGAUGGAUAGAGCACUGCCCUCCGAAGGCAAAGGUCUCAGGUUCGAAUCCUGUCGGGCGCA
rnacentral:tRNA from 1 species